rnacentral:rRNA from 1 species
UGUGCCAGCAGCCGCGGUAAUACGUAGGGGGCAAGCGUUGUCCGGAAUUAUUGGGCGUAAAGCGCGCGCAGGCGGCUUCUUAAGUCAGGUGUGAAAGCCCACGGCUCAACCGUGGAGGGCCACUUGAAACUGGGAAGCUUGAGUGCGGGAGAGGAGAGCGGAAUUCCACGUGUAGCGGUGAAAUGCGUAGAGAUGUGGAGGAACACCCGUGGCGAAGGCGGCUCUCUGGCCUGUAACUGACGAUGAGGCGCGAAAGCGUGGGGAGCGAACAGGAUUAGAAACCCCAGUAGUCC